ACCCGACUGCUAUCAGAGUGGGAUUAAGCCAUGCGAGUUAACGUAGCAAUACGUGGCAUACGGCUCAGUAACACGUAGUCAACAUGCCCAGGGGACGUGGAUAACCUCGGGAAACUGAGGAUAAACCGCGAUAGGCCAAGAUUUCUGGAAUGAAUCAUGGUUUAAAUCUAUAUGGCCCCUGGAUUGGACUGCGGCCGAUCAGGCUGUUGGUGAGGUAAUGGCCCACCAAACCUGUAACCGGUACGGGCUCUGAGAGGAGGAGCCCGGAGAUGGGCACUUAGACAAGGGCCCAGGCCCUAUGGGGCGCAGCAGGCGCGAAACCUCUGCAAUAAGCGAAAGCUUGACAGGGUUACUCUGAGUGAUUUCCGCUAAGGAAGUCUUUUGGCACCUCUAAAAAUGGUGCAGAAUAAGGGGUGGGCAAGUCUGGUGUCAGCCGCCGCGGUAAUACCAGCACCCCGAGUGGUCGGGACGAUUAUUGGGCCUAAAGCAUCCGUAGCCGGUUCUACAAGUCUUCCGUUAAAUCCACCUGCUUAACAGAUGGGCUGCGGAGGAUACUAUAGAGCUAGGAGGCGGGAGAGGCAAGCGGUACUUAGUGGGUAGGGGUAAAAUCCGUUGAUCCAUUGAAGACCACCAGUGGCGAAGGCGGCUUGCCAGAACGCACUCGACGGUGAGGGAUGAAAGCUGGGGGAGCAAACCGGAUUAGAUACCCGGGUAGUCCCAGCUGUAAACGAUGCAGACUCGGUGAUGAAUAGGCUUCGUGCCUAUUCAGUGCCGCAGGGAAGCCGUUAAGUCUGCCGCCUGGGGAGUACGGUCGCAAGACUGAAACCUAAAGGAAUUGGCGGGGGAGCACCACAAGGGGUGAAGCCUGCGGUUC
rnacentral:rRNA from 1 species